rnacentral:ncRNA from 1 species
AAAAAAAUGUCGAUGGAAAAGAGUAGUUUUCACUGGUACGUUCAAGGGAAAAUCUGUCAUAGACUGAAAGCAGAUUACGUUAUCGAAAAAUGAAGUUCACUUCCGGAGUUUGUCUGCUCCAUAAAAGCAGACCGGUGAAAGCCGUUAUUAAAAUUGAGUGCAUGACUAUUUGUCAUGAAGUAGGAUGGUAACACGAUAGCUCGUUCCUUAU